rnacentral:lncRNA from 1 species
AACACUCCACAAAGGAACUGGCCAAACACCCCACAAAGGAACUGGCCAAACACUCCACAAAGGAACUGGCCAAACACCCCACAAAGGAACUGGCCAAACACUCCACAAAGGAACUGGCCAAACACUCCACAAAGGAACUGGCCAAACACUCCACAAAGGAACCAGCCAAACAUCAACAGGCAUUUUAAUCGUUUAAUCCACCAACACACCAUAGAGUUCAAUCUGAUGUACAUACUGGUACAUACUGGGGUACAUACUGGGGUACACACUGGUACAUACGGGUACAUAUACUGGCACAUAUACUGGUACAUACUGGGGUACAUACUGGCACAUAUACUGGUACAUAUACUGGUACAUAUACUGGUACACAUACUUGGGUACAUACUUGGGUACAUACACUGGUACAUAUACUGGUACAUACUGGGGUACAUACUGGUACAUAUACUGGUACAUACAGGGGUACAUACUGGUACAUACUGGGGUACAUACUGGUACAUAUACUGGGGUACAUACUGGGGUACAUACUGGUACAUAUACUGGCACAUAUACUGGUACAUACUGGUACAUAUACUGGUACAUAUACUGGUACACAUACUUGGGUACAUACUUGGGUACAUACACUGGUACAUACUGGUACAUAUACUGGUACAUACUGGGGUACAUACUGGUACAUAUACUGGUACAUACAGGGGUACAUACUGGUACAUACUGGGGUACAUACUGGUACAUAUACUGGCACAUACUGGGGUACAUACUGGUACAUACUGGGGUACAUACUGGGGUAUGUACCGGUACUUACUGGGGUCCAUACAGGUACAUACUGGGGUACAUACUGGGGUACAUUCAUUUAAGUUUGUAGUGAUUGAUUACCAAAGCAUUUGAAAUCAUUUAAGUCAAGUCUCUAUGUUUUUAUAUAAACCCUGAAUAUGCUUCAUUACUGCAUCGGAAUUAAGGCAACUGCCAUUUAAAUUCAUAGAAAACAAAACUAGCCAAUCGGAGAGGUUGGUGGUCAUUCCCUAUUGGACAGAGGUGGUUAUUUCUUGAGUCCUAUUGGACAGGAGACUCCAGUGCCGCUCAGGCCACAGUAUCCACGGGGGUUCUUGCUGAGGUACUGCUGGUGGUAGUCCUCAGCAUAGUAGAACUCCUGGGCCUCGGCUAUCUCUGUGGUGAUUUCUCCAAAGCCCCCCUCUAUCAGGACCUGUAG